UACGGGGGGGGCAAGCGUUGUUCGGAAUUACUGGGCGUAAAGGGCUCGUAGGCGGCCAACUAAGUCGGACGUGAAAUCCCCAGGCUCAACCUGGGAACUGCGUCUGAUACUGGAUGGCUUGAAUCCGGGAGAGGGAUGCAGAAUUCCAGGUGUAGCGGUGAAAUGCGUAGAUAUCAGGAGGAACACCGAUGGCGAAGGCAGUUCUCUGGGCCGUAACUGACGCUGAGGAGCGAAAGCGUGGGGAGCGAACAGG
rnacentral:rRNA from 1 species